GAUGGUUUGUUGAUGGGUAUGUGUAGGAUUCUGUGAAAAGGUUGGGGAAGAAGAAGAAGAAAUGGAUUCAGUGAAGAAUCCUCUCCUUUUUUUCUAUUUCUUUUGUUUUGUGAACUUUCCUUUCAAUGUGUUUUUUUAUUUUUUCUCUUUAAUUGAUAGAGAACAUCAAAUUUAUGAGUUUCCCUUUUGAUUUGUGUUGGCUGAGUGUGACCCUUUGCAUUGGCGAACAACAUUCAAUUAUAUAAUU
rnacentral:lncRNA from 1 species